ensembl:lncRNA
UCAACAAGACCAAGUGCCUCUGAAACCAUUCCUAGACUUGCACUUUAGUCGUAUUUACUGCUCUUGCUAGCCACAGCCCAGGAAAUAUGACUGGAAGUCCCUGAAGUCUUUGGAAGCUUUCUUACUGACUCCUAUUGAUUUCAGAUCAUACAUUUAUAGGCAUAUUGAUACCAUCUUAAUUCUAUCACCCCUUAUAUGCGUGUGUUCAUUUGUAUUACAGAAAGAGAUGUUUAUCUGCUGGCUUUUACUCUGUAGUUUUCUACUGUCUUAUGCUAAAAAAUGAUUACUUAAGUCCAUUCAGGAGAAAUGAUGUUAAAACACUAAAAGGAUGUUUCCUUUAUAGAUGGUAGAGUUUGAAUGUUGUCAUUUAAUCUAUAAUGAUUAACUUCUUUACCACUGUUUUAGCAAUACAGUUGUGAAAGAACAGAUUCUUAUCUCUGUAAAUAAAUACAGACAUUCUGUAUUUACUGAAACAGGAAUUAAAAUCAGACUUGAUACAGAUUGCCUUGUCUCACGCUGUAUAAAAGAAAGACUAGAGUCGUUCUCUUAAGCAUAACUAACGCUAUUAUCUGAGUUAAGACAGAAAUUAACCUUUAUCUGUUUUUGUUUAGGUCAUUUAAAUGGUGUAUUGUAAGCCAAUUAAAUUAAAAUAAAGCAAAGCUUGAAUUAAUUCAAGAUAAUUUAUUAUGGUUUCAGAGUAGUAACUAUUGUGCUUCCCAUGUAAUGAAAGAUGGACACUUCUGCUAACACACAUGCUGGAAGAAGUUCAAGUGAGCUCACCUACAGGGUUCUCUGUUCAUGAAAAAUAUUUUUUUUGUAACUGCAAGCAAGCGUCAACUGCAUCUAUACACAGGUACUAAGAAGUCAAGGAAUGAAUGUUCAUAUUGAUAGGACACCGGGAAAUAUCCUUUACUAGUUCUGAGUAACAAAACAUUAACAUUAUUGCUAGUGUUCUAAUUAACACCAGUAGAAAAGCACAGCAGGAAUUUAUUAAAAAUGGAUUUAUCAGCACAUCCAAAUUCAUGAUAUUUAACUUUAAGGCAAAAGCAACCACGGCACUUUGAGUAACAGUUUUAAGUGGAUGAUUAGCUAAGGGGAUUCAAGACUUAAUAGCCAAAAUAAAUUACUAUAAUUAUUUUAUUACCUAUGCUAACUGAUUUCAUUGUUUUUAUUGAAAUAACAGCUCCCUAAAGAAUAGAAUGUUGCUUCAAAGAAUCCCAGCUGCAAGCUCUGUGUUCUCUUGUGGCAAUCAAAAACAACAACAAAAAUAGCUGUCAUUAAUAAUACUCUUUAAUAACUAUGCUACAGCAUAUUAGAAACACAUUCCACAUUUUUUCUGUACACCUGGACUUGAAUAUGAAAUUUUCUAGCCACUGGAGGGUCUUCUGUGGAAUUAAAAUAAAUCUAUAAAGCACUUAUUAAAAUAAACAUGAAUAUUUAUGGCGAACAACGGAAUGCUUUAAAUAGAUCUUUAAUAAAUAAGUCUGUGAUU